rnacentral:rRNA from 1 species
UACGGAGGAUCCAAGCGUUAUCCGGAUUUAUUGGGUUUAAAGGGUGCGUAGGCGGCCUGUUAAGUCAGGGGUGAAAGACGGUAGCUCAACUAUCGCAGUGCCCUUGAUACUGAUGGGCUUGAAUGAACUAGAGGUAGGCGGAAUGUGACAAGUAGCGGUGAAAUGCAUAGAUAUGUCACAGAACACCAAUUGCGAAGGCAGCUUACUAUGGUUUGAUUGACACUGAGGCACGAAAGCGUGGGGAUCAAACAGG